rnacentral:rRNA from 1 species
GUAGCGAAAUUCCUUGUCGGGUAAGUUCCGACCUGCACGAAUGGCGUAACGAUGGCCACACUGUCUCCUCCAGAGACUCAGCGAAGUUGAAAUGUUUGUGAUGAUGCAAUCUCCCCGCGGAAAGACGGAAAGACCCCAUGAACCUUUACUGUAGCUUUGUAUUGGACUUUGAACAGAUCUGUGUAGGAUAGGUGGGAGGCUUUGAAGUGCGGUCGCUAGAUCGCAUGGAGCCAACGUUGAAAUACCACCCUGGUGUGUUUGAGGUUCUAACCUAGGCCCAUUAUCUGGGUCGGGGACAGUGCAUGGUAGGCAGUUUGACUGGGGCGGUCUCCUCCCAAAGUGUAACGGAGGAGUUCGAAGGUACGCUAGUUACGGUCGGACAUCGUGACGAUAGUGCAAUGGCAUAAGCGUGCUUAACUGCGAGACUGACAAGUCGAGCAGAUGCGAAAGCAGGACAUAGUGAUCCGGUGGUUCUGUAUGGAAGGGCCAUCGCUCAACGGAUAAAAGGUACUCCGGGGAUAACAGGCUGAUACCGCCCAAGAGUUCAUAUCGACGGCGGUGUUUGGCACCUCGAUGUCGGCUCAUCACAUCCUGGGGCUGUAGCCGGUCCCAAGGGUAUGGCUGUUCGCCAUUUAAAGAGGUACGUGAGCUGGGUUUAGAACGUCGUGAGACAGUUCGGUCCCUAUCUGCCAUGGGCGUUGGAGAUUUGAGAGGGGCUGCUCCUAGUACGAGAGGACCGGAGUGGACGAACCUCUGGUGUUCCGGUUGUCACGCCAGUGGCAUUGCCGGGUAGCUAUGUUCGGAAGCGAUAACCGCUGAAAGCAUCUAAGCGGGAAGCGCGCCUCAAGAUGAGAUCUCCCGGGACACAAGUCCCCUAAAGGAACCAUCAAGACUAGGUGGUUGAUAGGUCAGGUGUGUAAGCGCAGCAAUGCGUUGAGCUAACUGAUACUAAUGAUCCGUGUGGCUUGAC